rnacentral:rRNA from 1 species
AUUGAACGCUGGCGGCAGGCCUAACACAUGCAAGUCGGACGAGCGGCGGACGGGUGAGUAAUGUCUGGGGAUCUGCCUGAUGGAGGGGGAUAACUACUGGAAACGGUAGCUAAUACCGCAUACCAUCAGAUGAACCCAUAUGGGAUUAGCUUGUAGGUGGGGUAACGGCUCACCUAGGCGACGAUCCCUAGCUGGUCUGAGAGGAUGACCAGCCACACGGGAACGGAGACACGGUCCAGACUCCGACGGUAGGCAGCAGUGGGGAAUAUUGCACAAUGGGCGCAAGCCUGAGGCAGCCAUGCCGCGUGUAUGAAGAAGGCCUUCGGGUUGUAAAGUACUUUCAGCGGGGAGGCGUUACUCGCAGAAGAAGCACCGGCUAACUCCGUGCCAGCAGCCGCGGUAAUUC